rnacentral:rRNA from 1 species
ACGUUAGCGGCGGACGGGUGAGUAACACGUGGGCAACCUGCCUGUAAGACUGGGAUAACUUCGGGAAACCGAAGCUAAUACCGGAUAGGAUCUUCUCCUUCAUGGGAGAUGAUUGAAAGAUGGUUUCGGCUAUCACUUACAGAUGGGCCCGCGGUGCAUUAGCUAGUUGGUGAGGUAACGGCUCACCAAGGCAACGAUGCAUAGCCGACCUGAGAGGGUGAUCGGCCACACUGGGACUGAGACACGGCCCAGACUCCUACGGGAGGCAGCAGUAGGGAAUCUUCCGCAAUGGACGAAAGUCUGACGGAGCAACGCCGCGUGAGUGAUGAAGGCUUUCGGGUCGUAAAACUCUGUUGUUAGGGAAGAACAAGUACGAGAGUAACUGCUCGUACCUUGACGGUACCUAACCAGAAAGCCACGGCUAACUACGUGCCAGCAGCCGCGGUAAUACGUAGGUGGCAAGCGUUAUCCGGAAUUAUUGGGCGUAAAGCGCGCGCAGGCGGUUUCUUAAGUCUGAUGUGAAAGCCCACGGCUCAACCGUGGAGGGUCAUUGGAAACUGGGGAACUUGAGUGCAGAAGAGAAAAGCGGAAUUCCACGUGUAGCGGUGAAAUGCGUAGAGAUGUGGAGGAACACCAGUGGCGAAGGCGGCUUUUUGGUCUGUAACUGACGCUGAGGCGCG